rnacentral:misc_RNA from 1 species
CGUAACAAGGUCUCCGUUGGUGAACCAGCGGAGGGAUCAUUACCGAGUUUACAACUCCCAAACCCCUGUGAACAUACCUUAAUGUUGCCUCGGCGGAUCAGCCCGCGCCCCGUAAAACGGGACGGCCCGCCAGAGGACCCAAACUCUAAUGUUUCUUAUUGUAACUUCUGAGUAAAACAAACAAAUAAAUCAAAACUUUCAACAACGGAUCUCUUGGUUCUGGCAUCGAUGAAGAACGCAGCAAAAUGCGAUAAGUAAUGUGAAUUGCAGAAUUCAGUGAAUCAUCGAAUCUUUGAACGCACAUUGCGCCCGCUGGUAUUCCGGCGGGCAUGCCUGUUCGAGCGUCAUUUCAACCCUCAAGCCCCCGGGUUUGGUGUUGGGGAUCGGCUCUGCCUUCUGGCGGUGCCGCCCCCGAAAUACAUUGGCGGUCUCGCUGCAGCCUCCAUUGCGUAGUAGCUAACACCUCGCAACUGGAACGCGGCGCGGCCAUGCCGUAAAACCCCAACUUCUGAAU